rnacentral:rRNA from 1 species
CCUACGGGAGGCAGCAGUGAGGAAUAUUGGUCAAUGGCCGGGAGGCUGAACCAGCCAAGUCGCGUGAGGGAAGACGGCCCUACGGGUUGUAAACCUCUUUUGUCAGGGAGCAAGGUGCAGGUCGGGACCUGCUGUGAGAGUACCUGAAGAAAAAGCAUCGGCUAACUCCGUGCCAGCAGCCGCGGUAAUACGGAGGAUGCGAGCGUUAUCCGGAUUUAUUGGGUUUAAAGGGUGCGCAGGCGGAGGCACAAGUCAGCGGUAAAAUCGCGGGGCGCAACCCCGCGCCGCCGUUGAAACUGUGGCCCUUGAGUGCGCGAAGGGUAGGCGGAAUGCGUGGUGUAGCGGUGAAAUGCAUAGAUAUCACGCAGAACUCCGAUCGCGAAGGCAGCCUACCGGCGCGCAACUGACGCGCAUGCACGAAAGCGUGGGUAUCGAACAGGAUUAGAUACCCCUGUAGUC